GAUGAACGCUAGCGGGAGGCUUAACACAUGCAAGUCGAGGGGCAGCAUAGGGUAGCAAUACUCUGAUGGCGACCGGCAAACGGGUGAGUAACGCGUAUGCAACCUACCCUGUACAGGGGGAUAACCCGGAGAAAUUCGGACUAAUAUCCCGUAAUAAUAUCCGGAGGCAUCUUUGGAUAUUUAAAGUUCCGACGGUACGGGAUUGGGCAUGCGUAACAUUAGCUGGUUGGUAAGGUAACGGCUUACCAAGGCUAUGAUGUUUAGGGGUCCUGAGAGGGUGGUCCCCCACACUGGUACUGAGACACGGACCAGACUCCUACGGGAGGCAGCAGUGAGGAAUAUUGGUCAAUGGGCGCAAGCCUGAACCAGCCAUCCCGCGUGCAGGAAGACGGCCCUAUGGGUUGUAAACUGCUUUUCCAGGGAGAGAAACUUACGCACGUGUUGCGUGACUGACGGUACCCUGGGAAUAAGCAUCGGCUAACUCCGUG
rnacentral:rRNA from 1 species